CAAGAGGUAAAAUGGGAGGUACAAAAUGCACACAAGGGGGUAAAGUGGAGGUUAAGAGGCACAGAAGUAGUAAAAAAGUGGUUACGUGGCACACAAUGUGUAAGUGGGGUUUAAAGGCACAGAAGUGGCUAAGACACACACAAGAGGUUAAGGAAGAGGUUAAGAGGUGCAUUAGAGGUAAUGGCAUUAGACAUUUACACAAGGGGUAAAGUGGGGGGUUA